rnacentral:rRNA from 1 species
UACGGAGGUUGCGAGCGUUGUUCGGAAUAACUGGGCGUAAAGGGAGCGCAGGCGGCCUGAACAGUCUAAAGUGAAAGCCCGAGGCUUAACCCCGGAAGUGCUUUGGAUACUGCCAGGCUCGAGUUCGUGAGAGGAAAGCGGAAUUCCAGGUGUAGCGGUGAAAUGCGUAGAUAUCUGGAGGAACACCGGUGGCGAAAGCGGCUUUCUGGCGCGAUACUGACGCUGAGGCUCGAAAGCAUGGGGAGCGAACGGG